rnacentral:rRNA from 1 species
UAGAACAUUGGAACCACCUGAUCCCAUCCCGAACUCAGUAGGGAAACGAUGUAUCGCGGAUGGUAGUGUGGUGUUUCCCCAUGUGAGAGUAGGUCAUCGUCAAGA